UUACUCGAAUUCAAGCUAUCCCCACAUUCUUGCUCUAUCCACUUCUCAGCCGCAGUCCGCCGGUCCUCCUCGCCACGCCAAGCAAGCACCCAUGGCGCAAGCCACGGCGUGGCUGCGGUAUUCCUUCUUUCUCUCGCCGUCGGCCUCCCACUCUCUCUAUCUCGCACGGUGGCGGUACCCUCUUCCGUCCUCUCUCCUUCUCAAGAGAAAAGCCAAACCCCCAAUAUCAGCUUCCUCUCCUUCCUCCACGUCCAACGUAGCUUCCACCGAUGCGGCGGCUUUAACGGUUUUCCACCUCCACAAUACGUUGACGAAGCGGAAGGAACCUUUCCGGCCAACAAUGGAAGGCAAGGUGGGCAUGUACGUUUGCGGGAUCACUGCCUACAAUCUGAGCCACAUCGGCCACGCGCGCGUCUCUGUCGUCUUCGAUGUGCUGUAUCGUUAUUUGAAGCAUUUAAAAUAUGAAGUCAUUUAUGUGAGGAACUUCACUGAUGUUGACGACAAAAUCAUUGCUAGAGCAAAUGAGUUGGGGGAGGAUCCCUUGACUUUGUGCAACCGCUACUGCACUGAAUUUCAGUCUGAUAUGGCUCAUCUUCAUUGCUUAACGCCUACUGUCGAACCACGUGUCUCAACUCAUAUGAGCCAAAUUAUACAUAUGAUUAAGCAGAUUCUUGCUAAUGGUUUUGCCUACAGCAUUGAUGGCGACGUCUAUUUCUCUGUUGACAAAUAUCCCUCAUAUGGCCAAUUGUCUGGUAGGAGAUUGGAGGAUAAUCAACCUGGACAGAGGGUUGCUGUAGAUUCAAGAAAGAAAAAUCCUGCUGAUUUUGCUUUGUGGAAAGCUUCAAAGGCUGGGGAACCAUUUUGGGAGAGUCCUUGGGGACCAGGAAGGCCAGGAUGGCAUAUUGAAUGCAGUGCAAUGAGUGCAACUUAUCUUGGUUAUUCGUUUGAUAUACAUGGUGGUGGGAUGGACCUUGUUUUCCCUCACCACGAGAAUGAAAUUGCUCAGAGUUGCGCUGCAUGUAAAGAAAGCAAUGUAAGCUAUUGGGUCCAUAAUGGCUUUGUUGAUGUUGGAUCUGAAAAAAUGUCGAAAUCACUUGGUAAUUUUGUCACAAUACGCCAGACUAUAUGUAAUUGUGACAUCUCAUUGAACCAAUUUAAUGGGGAAAACCUGAAGGACUAUGUACCAAAAUAUAUUGUAGAUUGCAUAAACAAAUUUCGAUUUGAUUUAAAAAAAUCUUUAGCAGAUGAUCUACGUACUCCAAUUGCGUUGGCUUCAUUUUCUGAACCACCUUCAUACUCGUAAGUUGAGCAAUGACUGUAUAACCACUUGUGAAGCUAAUUCUUUGGGUCUUGCAAAUUAGACAAUUAGUGCAACCCUAUGACUUCUAUCUUUUACAGAAGCCUUCAGCUCAGGUCCCUGAAAGAGUAGGCUGUUAAAGUCGGGAAGCGGUUAAAGGCGUUCUAGGAUUAGAUCUUCUAGGAAAUAGGCUUCAAUCCCUUAUAACUGCUAAUGUACUUUUUAUUUUAUUUUUUUGUUGGUGUAAGUCUAUAAAAAUGUAAGUUUAAACUUGUAUAUAAUCUUUAUUUAAAAAAAAAAAUGUAACUUCAAACUUUUAUAUAUUCUUUAAUCAAUAAAAUUUAAGAGCAUCACUCAUUUUUAAGA